rnacentral:rRNA from 1 species
GUCAGCGGCCAUAGGAGCGGGGAAACGCCGGAACCCUUUCCGAACUCCGAAGCUAAGCCCGCUCACGGCAACGCUUGUACUGCCUUCACGGGCGGGAACGCGCGCUGCUGCUGACA